rnacentral:rRNA from 1 species
CAACCCUAGGUCAGGCAGGCUACCCGCUGAGUUUAAGCUAUCAAUAAGCGGAGG